rnacentral:rRNA from 1 species
GGGUCAGUAGGUUGGUCGUGCCACCGGUACGUACUGGUCUCACUGAUACCUCCUUCCUGAAGAACCGUAAUGCCAUUAAUUUGGUGUUGCGGGGAAACAGGACUGUUACUUUGAAAAAAUUAGAGUGUUUAAAGCAAGCUAACGCUUGAAUACAUUAGCAUGGAAUAAUGAAAUAGGACGAUCGAUCCUAUUUUGUUGGUUUCUAGGAUUGACGUA